rnacentral:tRNA from 1 species
CGGGGCGUGGCGCAGUCCGGUAGCGCGCUUGCAUGGGGUGCAAGAGGCCCCCGGUUCGAAUCCGGGCGCCCCGA